UGGUUUCUCUUCAAGUUGUACAAAUCAUUCACCUUUUACUAAAGAUUUUCGUGGAGAGGAACAGCUAU
rnacentral:snRNA from 1 species